UACGUAGGGGGCAAGCGUUGUCCGGAUUUAUUGGGCGUAAAGAGCGUGUAGGCGGCCUGCCAGGUCAGCUGUGAAAACUCGAGGCUCAACCUCGAGACGUCGGUUGAAACCAUCUGGCUAGAGUCCGGAAGAGGAGUGUGGAAUUCCCGGUGUAGCGGUGAAAUGCGCAGAUAUCGGGAAGAACACCCGUGGCGAAGGCGGCACUCUGGGACGGUACUGACGCUGAGACGCGAAAGCGUGGGGAGCGAACAGG
rnacentral:rRNA from 1 species